AGUGAACGCUGGCGGUAGGCCUAACACAUGCAAGUCGAACGGCAGCACAGUAAGAGCUUGCUCUUACGGGUGGCGAGUGGCGGACGGGUGAGGAAUACAUCGGAAUCUACUUUUUCGUGGGGGAUAACGUAGGGAAACUUACGCUAAUACCGCAUACGACCUACGGGUGAAAGCAGGGGAUCUUCGGACCUUGCGCGAUUGAAUGAGCCGAUGUCGGAUUAGCUAGUUGGCGGGGUAAAGGCCCACCAAGGCGACGAUCCGUAGCUGGUCUGAGAGGAUGGUCACCCACACCGGAGCAGAGACACGCGCCCGACACCGACGGGGGGGACCAGGGUGGGAAAUUGGGCAAAGGGGGCGAACGUGAGACAGCGCCACCGCGCGUGGGAAAAAAAGCCCCUGGGUGUGAAAACCCCUUUUGUGGGGAAAAAAAAGGCGGAGUUUAACCCCCCGGUUUUGACGGGACCCAAAAAAAAAGCACCGGCUAACCACGUG
rnacentral:rRNA from 1 species